GGAACACUGUGUGUGCCGUCAUGGAUUAUACACAUUAGAAAGAAUCCAGCUUAAUGAGAACCCACCUUAUCUGAAGGGAAGCACAUGACCCAAUGUCAGACUGCCUGGCUCAACUACAUACUGGUGAAGGCUUUGGCCACUGCUCUGGAGAUCUUACUCAGUUUUCCUGGCUUGGACUCCCCCAUAUAUACAGGAGGUUUUUUACUUUACAAAAACUAACAACUGAAAAGAAUAUCCAGAAGGAAGAAGAAAUAAAGGAGGCACUAAUGUCUAUGGUUCCUGUAUUUUUCAACCCUAAUGAAUGUUCACCCUGUAGGUGUAAUAUGUUCCAUUAUUUAAAAGAAAAAGAUAAUAAAAAGCAUUUUCCUGUGCUUUUAAGCAUUUAUGAAAAUACA